AUUGAACGCUGGCGGCCGGCCUAACACAUGCAAGUCGAGCGAGCGGCGGACGGGUGAGUAACGUCUGGGAAACUGCCUGCUGGAGGUGGAUUAACAUUGGAAACGGCAGCUUAUACCGCAUCCCAUCCGAUGUUCCCAGAUGGGAUGAGCUAGUUGGUGGGGUAACGGCUCACCAAGGCGACGACCCCUAGCUGGUCUGAGAGGCUGACCAGCCACACUGGAACUGAGACACGGUCCAGACUCCUACGGGAGGCAGCAGUGGGGAAUAUUGCACAAUGGGCGCAAGCCUGAUGGAGCCAUGCCGCGUGAGUGAAGAAGGCCUUCGGGUUGUAAAGCACUGUCAGCAGGGAGGCGUUACCCACAGAGGAAGCACCGGCUAACUCCGUGCCAGCAGCCGCGGUAAUAC
rnacentral:rRNA from 1 species